rnacentral:rRNA from 1 species
GGCAUGCGGCGGCUACCAUGCAAGUCGAACGGCAGCACAGAAGAGCUUGCUCUUUGGGUGGCGAGUGGCGGACGGGUGAGUAAUGUCUGGGAAACUGCCCGAUGGAGGGGGAUAACUACUGGAAACGGUAGCUAAUACCGCAUAACGUCGCAAGACCAAAGUGGGGGACCUUCGGGCCUCACACCAUCGGAUGUGCCCAGAUGGGAUUAGCUAGUAGGUGGGGUAAUGGCUCACCUAGGCGACGAUCCCUAGCUGGUCUGAGAGGAUGACCAGCCACACUGGAACUGAGACACGGUCCAGACUCCUACGGGAGGCAGCAGUGGGGAAUAUUGCACAAUGGGCGCAAGCCUGAUGCAGCCAUGCCGCGUGUAUGAAGAAGGCCUUCGGGUUGUAAAGUACUUUCAGCGGGGAGGAAGGCGGUGAGGUUAAUAACCUCGCCGAUUGACGUUACCCGCAGAAGAAGCACCGGCUAACUCCGUGCCAGCAGCCGCGGUAAUACGGAGGGUGCAAGCGUUAAUCGGAAUUACUGGGCGUAAAGCGCACGCAGGCGGUCUGUUAAGUCAGAUGUGAAAUCCCCGGGCUUAACCUGGGAACUGCAUUUGAAACUGGCAGGCUUGAGUCUCGUAGAGGGGGGUAGAAUUCCAGGUGUAGCGGUGAAAUGCGUAGAGAUCUGGAGGAAUACCGGGGGGCGAAAGCGGCCCCCCUGGACGAAGACUGACGCUCAGGUGCGAAAAGCGUGGGGGAGCAAAAAAGGAAUUAAAAUACCCCUGGGUAGUCCCCCGCCCGCAAAACGAGGUUU